rnacentral:rRNA from 1 species
UACAGAGGUGGCAAGCGUUGUUCGGAAUUACUGGGCGUAAAGGGCGCGUAGGCGGUUCGUCAAGUCCUGUGUGAAAUCCCCCGGCUCAACUGGGGAACUGCACAGGAAGCUAGCGGGCUUGAGUUCGGGAGAGGGAAGCGGAAUUCCGGGUGUAGCGGUGAAAUGCGUAGAUAUCCGGAGGAACACCGGUGGCGAAGGCGGCUUCCUGGACCGACACUGACGCUGAGGCGCGAAAGCUAGGGGAGCAAACGGG